rnacentral:rRNA from 1 species
AGAGUUUGAUCCUGGCUCAGGAUGAACGCUGGCGGCGUGCCUAACACAUGCAAGUCGAACGAAGCGCCUAAGACGGAAUUCUUCGGAAGGAAGUUUUUUGUGACUGAGUGGCGGACGGGUGAGUAACGCGUGGGCAACCUGCCUUGUACAGGGGGACAACAGAUGGCAACGACUCUCAAUACCGUAUAAGCCUACAGUAUCGCAUGAUACAGUAGGAAAAACUCCGGUGGUACGAGAUGGACCCGCGUCUGAUUAGCUAGUUGAAGGGGUAACGGCCCACCAAGGCGACGAUCAGUAACCGGCUUGAGAGAGUGACCGGCCACAUUGGGACUGAGACACGGCCCAAACUCCUACGGGAGGCAGCAGUGGGGAAUAUUGCACAAUGGGGGGAACCCUGAUGCAGCAACGCCGCGUGAGUGAAGAAGUAUUUCGGUAUGUAAAGCUCUAUCAGCAGGGAAGAUAAUGACGGUACCUGACUAAGAAGCCCCGGCUAACUACGUGCCAGCAGCCGCGGUCAUGCGUGGGGGGCGCGCGUUCUCCGGUUUUCCUGGGUGUUGGGGGGGCGCGGGCGGCGGGGCCUGUCUGAUGUGCUGGCCCGGGGCUCAACCCCGGGACUGCAUUUGAAACUGUCCAGCUGGAGUACAGGAGAGGCAGGCGGAAUUCCUAGUGUAGCGGUGAAAUGCGUAGAUAUUGGGAGGAACACCAGUGGCGAAGGCGGCUUUCUGGACGACAACUGACGCUGAGACGCGAAAGUGUGGGGAGCAAACAGGAUUAGAUACCCUGGUAGUCCACACCGUAAACGAUGGAUACUAGGUGUUGGAGGUAUCGACUCCUUCAGUGCCGAAGUAAACACAAUAAGUAUCCCACCUGGGGAGUACGAUCGCAAGAUUGAAACUCAAAGGAAUUGACGGGGGCCCGCACAAGCAGUGGAGUAUGUGGAUUAAUUCGAAGCAACGCGAAGAACCUUACCCGGUCUUGACAUCCCGAUGCCGUACAUAGAGAUAUGUAUUUUCUUCGGAACGUCGGAGACAGGUGGUGCAUGGUUGUCGUCAGCUCGUGUCGUGAGAUGUUGGGUUAAGUCCCGCAACGAGCGCAACCCCUAUUGUCAGUUGCCAUCAUUAAGUUGGGCACUCUGGCGAGACUGCCGGUGACAAAUCGGAGGAAGGUGGGGACGACGUCAAAUCAUCAUGCCCCUUAUGACCGGGGCCUCACACGUACUACAAUGGCCAAUAACAAAGUGCAGCAAAAUCGUGAGAUGGAGCGAAUCACAAAACUUGGUCUCAGUUCGGAUUGUAGGCUGAAACUCGCCUACAUGAAGUUGGAAUUGCUAGUAAUCGCGGAUCAGCAUGCCGCGGUGAAUACGUUCCCGGGCCUUGCACACACCGCCCGUCA